CGCUCAAACCGGGGCUCGAACCCACGACCCUGAGAUUAAGAGGCUCAUGCUCUACCGACUGAGCUAGCCAGGC